rnacentral:rRNA from 1 species
GAUGAACGCUGGCGGCGUGCCUCAAACAUGCAAGUCGAGCGGGGCUAUGUAAUAUCGCAAGGUAGAACAUAGCCUAGCGGCGAACGGGUGAGUAACACGUGGGUAACCUGCCCUGGAAGACAGGGAUAACGAUUCGAAAGGGUCGCUAAUACCUGAUAAUAUCCUUUCAUCGCAUGGUGAUAGGAAGAAAGGGGAAACCCGCUUUCAGAUGGGCCCGCGUCCCAUCAGCUAGUUGGUAAGGUAAAGGCUUACCAAGGCGACGACGGGUAGCCGGUCUGAGAGGAUGUACGGCCACACUGAGACUGAGAUACGGCCCAGACUCCUACGGGAGGCAGCAGUUGGGAAUCUUAGGCAAUGGACGAAAGUCUGACCUAGCGACGCCGCGUGAGGGAAGAAGGCCUUCGGGUUGGUAAACCUCUGUCAUGGGGGAAGAAGGAAGUGACGGUACCCCAAGAGGAAGCCCCUGCUAACACGUAGCCAGCCAGCCGCGGUAAAAGUACUCUAU